GACGAACGCUGGCGGCGUGCCUAAUACAUGCAAGUUGAGCGCUGAAGGUUGGUACUUGUACCGACUGGAUGAGCAGCGAACGGGUGAGUAACGCGUGGGGAAUCUGCCUUUGAGCGGGGGACAACAUUUGGAAACGAAUGCUAAUACCGCAUAAAAACUUUAAACACAAGUUUUAAGUUUGAAAGAUGCAAUUGCAUCACUCAAAGAUGAUCCCGCGUUGUAUUAGCUAGUUGGUGAGGUAAAGGCUCACCAAGGCGAUGAUACAUAGCCGACCUGAGAGGGUGAUCGGCCACAUUGGGACUGAGACACGGCCCAAACUCCUACGGGAGGCAGCAGUAGGGAAUCUUCGGCGAUAGACGAAAGUCUGACCGAGCAACGCCGCGUGAGUGAAGAAGGUUUUCGGAUCGUAAAACUCUGUUGGUAGAGAAGAACGUUGGUGAGAGUGGAAAGCUCAUCAAGUGACGGUAACUACCCAGAAAGGGACGGCUAACUACGUG
rnacentral:rRNA from 1 species